rnacentral:rRNA from 1 species
UACGUAGGCAGCAAGCGUUGUUCGGAAUUACUGGGCGUAAAGAGUGUGUAGGCGGUGCUCCAAGUCUGGUGUGAAAUCUCCCGGCUUAACUGGGAGGGUGCAUUAGAAACUGGAAUGCCAGAGGAUGGGAGAGGUAAGCGGAAUUCCUGGUGUAGCGGUGAAAUGCGUAGAUAUCAGGAGGAACACCUGUGGUGUAGACAGCUUACUGGACCAUUUCUGACGCUGAGACACGAAAGCGUGGGUAGCAAACAGG